GCGUGGGGAAGUCAAAACAAACACAAAAUGGCUGCCGUCGGAGACGACGCUGCUGCAAUGGACAGCAUUUCCAGGUCGCCUGGAGUCCAUUCUGCUCCUUCGAACGCCACUGCGAAUGUAACGAGUUACGGGGAAAGCGCAGAGGACGUGAAGGAAGCACCGCUUCCAGCAGUUAAAAAAAACAUGACAAGCGAUGGCGGUGUGGAAACAGCAGAAGAAGCCGUGGAGCCCACAGAGCCCGACAUCAAUGUGCUCUGUACCGACAUGUUUGAAAAGAUGUCCGUCUUUCUUCAAGGAGAACUCACUGCCACUUGUGAGGAUUAUCGUCUGUUGGAGAACAUGAACAAGCUGACUAGUCUAAAAUACAUGGAGAUGAAAGACAUCAGCAUCAAUAUCAGUCGAAACUUGCAAGAUCUCAACAAUAAAUAUGCUAGCCUUCAGCCUUACCUGGACCAGAUAAAUCAGAUUGAGGAGCAAGUGUCAUCAUUGGAACAAGCUGCCUAUAAACUGGACGCAUAUUCCAAAAAACUAGGAAAACCAGGAAAAACCUGAGCAGACACAAGAAGGAAGCUGUCGGCCAUGGAAGAGGGAGGGCGGAGGAAGAGGAAGCUGCCAGUUAAGCGGCCAUCAAAUGACGCUCCAGUGCCAGGAAGCCCCGUCCCGAUAGCCUCAUGGUCCCAAAAAAUUCAAGAACCUCCUCAGUGUGUCUUUUCCCUCAUGGUCCUCCCACAUUGAGCUCUGGGAAGGUGUUCUGCAUAUAGAAGCAGUGUGUGAAUGAAGGAUUGUGGGACGGCAGCCACAGGAGGGGAGAGAAACGCGCCGUUCACCCCGCUGGAGCUGAGCCCUAACCUGGGUACACAUUGCAUCUUUCCUCCUGUCAGCACAUAAAUACACGCCUGUCAGAGGGCCUGCAAGAAGAGUUCUCCGUCUAACUCCGUGACGGGCCCUUUAAUAUUCCAAACAAUGAGGAAAACGAUGCAUUUUUUCUUUUGACCCUUAGAUCAGGGGUCGGGAACCUUUUUGACUAAGAGAGCCAUAAAAGCAAAAUAUUUGGAAAUUUGUUUCAGUGAGAGCCAUGUAAUAUAUAUAUUUUUUUUAAAUUAAAUGUUAUAAUUAAUGCGACUUCUGGUGCUGCAUGGAUUUGCUGAUGUCUUUGUAGUCUGGUUGGUACUUGAUGAGGUUAAGCUUCAUGCAAGCGUUGAGACUUUCAUCCGUGAUCUAAGAGUUAACCAUCCAACCUUCACAAAUGAAAUACCACAUUCAAUAAACCUGCACUUUGCAUUGUGUCAUUGUUUGUGUCUGACCUUUCCCCAAGGUCAAACGCUCCUUUUUUUUAGGGUGGCGGCUUUUCCGUCGAGUAAGCAUUUGUGCCGUUUCCGACACAUAAAAGAAGACGUAAAAAGUGUGACUCUUCUGUCACACAAACAAAAAAGAGAUAAAGCGAGUGACAGAAGACAAUAGACAGGGAAAGACGAAGAUGAAGAAAAGGAGGGUCUCAGUCGCCCCUCCUCUUCCUCUCCGCCGUAAACGAGCCUUUGGCUUUCAUCCCUCAACAAUCAAGCGCAUUACCUGUUAACCCCCUGACCUGCGAGCACAUGAGGUCCUGCAUCCUGACCCCUGAACUCUCACCCAGCCAGUGUCCUGUCAUUCAUCACCCCCCCCCCCCCCCACGAGCCCAACAAGAGAUUGCAUCUGAUCUGAUGACGAGCGCUGGUCGGUUCCCUCGUAAGUGCAUCCAUCAGGCGCUGCCGGGAAAUAAGCAAGGCAUCAUAACGGGAAAGUAGAUUGUCGCCCACCAUCUCUGAUGUCGGCCUCCGAGUGGAACCAGAUGGGACCGGGAGAACAUGGAUUGGAAAUCUGAUUGUAGAUGCAAGAGCAAAAAUAUGGUUCGGUUUAGCUUUUACAACCACCACAAUAAACUUCAGCAGUGAAGGCUACCUUCAGCUUUCACAUUCCUACCAGCUCUGGCACGAAGCUCAAAAAAACACCUCAGUGCAGCCGAAGACAUCCGUGACAUUGUCCCCGAGAGGUCAUAAAUAUACACGGACAGUUAAUGUGUUAAGGAAACACUAUCUCCACGCUCCACGUGUCUCACGGCGACAACAAAUAAACAUCUGCUUGGAACAUCUGGAACGCUCAAAGUGACACUUCAUUAGGUACACUUGAUUGAUGUCAAAUAUGUUGUGGGGCUGCUUUGUGACAUCCAGACACUAAAUAAAUAGAUAAAUAAAUGGAG